CAAUGACCCUUUCAAAAUAAGAACUCAGUGCUAAUGUCCUGAAAUCUCUAAACACCUGAAGAGCAAUUAUGGAAUUGUGACUAAUAGCCAUCAGCUCUAAAAAUAAACCUAAAGGCACUUCUUUGUAACCCACAAAUAAAUCCCUUCUUGUACAUUCUGCUUGCAUCUGACUUGGUGAUCAAAGCCUUAUAGAAGGAACCUAUUUAUUUCUUUAAAAAUGAGAAUUAGAUGAAGGUUAUGAUAAAGUUUCUAAGGAAAGUCACUGUUGAAAUGUGCUCCAGCAUCUAUUGUGCUCUGUCAGUGAUCAUCAGUAAAACUCAGGUAAACGAUGUCACUUUUCUUUUUCAGUGAAUACUGCAUCUCCAAAUGGAGAGAAACAAGUGAAGUCCCUCUCUUUUCAAGAACAAGUUGUUUGAUAUAGCUUCACUGGUUUCUUCAGGUUACCUGCGGCCAAGGAUGAUAAAGCACAUGAUGGAUGGUUUACAUCAGAAAGAUUUGUAUUUCUUCAUGCCAAAGAAGAAAACAGAGCAAGGGAUGCAGAAAGGGUGAAAGAACAUAUCUGAUAAGAAGUGACACUCAUGACAACUACCAUGUGUUGAUGGUCACAGAGUGUUUAUCCCUGGUAAAUGUUACCAAAAAGAAAAAAAAUGCAGUCACUGGUUGCAACCAGCGCAACUUCAUGUGAGGGGAGACCUGCUUGUUGAAUGUGAUUUUCUUCUCCAACAAGGUAUGGCUUCAGUUGAAUUCCCACCUUUUCACAGAAGCUGAACUAACCUGACCUCUUAAAGGCUCUGUCAAGUCUUUCAGAUGCCAUUGGUGACAUCCGGAAGUUGCAACUAUAUUUUGGCAUGAAAAAGUUAGAAGAGUAAGACCUUCACCAGAAUUGUGAAACAGAAGGAACGACUGAAAGGUGAUUGAAUGACACAGACAGUAAAAGGAAGCUACAAAACAGAGAUACUGUGAUUGUUCUAUUUUAAAAAGUAGGGGUUGUGGGGUUUUGGCACCUGGCAAAAUGGAUUUUUUUGUAUCUGGAGAGAUAAUCACUGAAAGACUGAAUAAUACAUAAUGGCUAAUAGAUACAACCCAUGAGACAAAGUGCAGUGGUUCUGUGAAGUGUAACAGUAGUUGAAAGUUAAAACCACCCAUGCAGUCACCCAGCAGCCUCUGAUAAACCAUCUAGACAAUAAUUUUGGUGUGUAUAAAUUCUAUAGAAAAAAUCUAUUUCCACAGCAACUGGUGGCUGCAGAGUAUUUCCACAAUUUUAAAGGGAGUAAAAAGGGAAAAUAUUUUGAACGUAUGGUGGAAUUGAAUAAAUUGACAAUGUCCUGUCAGUUUUAUAUAAGGUUCUGGUGAGGUCAGAAAUUUAUAGUACUCAUGGUGGAAUCUCUUCCUGGGCAGUAAACAGAAUGGACCUAUCCAAAAUCUUUUGCUCAGUGAAUCUGAUCUGGUGAGAAAAUACAUUGCAACAUUGGUGCUUUGGAGAAUUCUUAAUAUUGAAGAGGCCAAGUUGUUGCCCAGUAACCCCCAAAAGAUGAAUUCAGGCGUUGCAGCAGAGACGAUACCAAAAGUAGCAGGAAAUUCCAUGUUUAUCCCACCUGAUAUCUCCACCCUCUGAACCUCAUAAAAUAUUUUUCUUCUUCAUUAGACAUAUAUAUUUAUCACAAUUAUUUUCUCAGAAUAGGGUGUUGCUUGACUUCCUAUCUCUUUACCUAUCACAACCAUAACCAUCACAAUCAUCAUCAUCAUAGUGUUUCAUUGCACUUAAUCUAUUUAGAAUAGUUCAGAAUCUUCUCAUUCUUUCUUCUGCUUCCCAGAUGCAUUCUCUGGGACUAAAACCUCUCCUCAGACUUUGCCCAAAAUCUUCUAGCUUGCCAAGUGAACACACAGUCACACAAUAAAAGAUAGAGAAUAAAAACCCAAAAAAUAUGCCCAGUAAAAAAUGCUGCAGGCCACAGAGUCCAAGCUAACACUGAGCAUAUGAGGGCCACAGAUCAACUGGCAGAAACCUCAACAAUUUAGAAAAAAUGUUUGACAACAGUAGAAAAAGGAAAAAUUACGAAGAAAGAUGAACAGUGAAACAGAACCUUGUGAUAAGUUUAAGUGAAAAAGCAGGUGAAGAAGAAACUGAACUUUCAGCUAGGUCAAGGAGAGGGAUAUACUCAGAAUAUCAUCAAAGUCAAAGCAAUUCUAAAAAUCAUUGAACAACGUUUAACAAAAUAUCACCAGCAGAAAAAUGCAAAGAUUCAAGCAGAGCUGCACUCCCCAUGAAGCCAUGAUAUCAAACAGGGCAUGAGGACAACAAAGCAAAGACAUCAAUAGUGUGGAGCACUUGUUAGAUCAGAUGCAAAACUCACCCACUGCAAGGUCAGCACAGAGCUAAGGGAAAUACCAGAUAAAAAGUGAGUGUAUUAGCUCUGCUAAUCUCAGAACACUGUAAACUUUGUAUAAGGGUAAAAGUAUAAAAAAUGGAAUCAUCUGCAUGUGGAACAAUGAGGAAAGAAGAGAAGAGAGGGAAAGAGAGAUAGAAAUAGGAAAAAAGCAGGGGAAAGGAGAAAGAGGUGAGGGGAAAAGGAAAAUGGGAAAGGGAGGGAGGGAAAAUUUUUGUAAUGCAAAAAGUAAUUAGUUUAAUUUGGUAAUUUUAGAAUUAUUUCCCAUGAGAAAAAUUAAAAUCUUCAGAAUAACAUUGGUAUUUAUCCCAAGAGAUAGGCAAAUUCUUUAUAAACACGAACAUGAUUUUUGCUUAAAGAUCUCAUUUAUUUCUUAUCCUGUCUUUUCACCAGGCUGAGUUUUCUGGCUGACUUAGGAAAAAAGGACAUAGCCAGAUGAUGACAUGAGAGAAACUAAUGUUGUCUUUACAGUGAUAUGUCUCAGUAAAUCUUAUUCUUCUAAAAAUCUGUGCAAUGAUUGUUAAAAACAAACACAAUUUGAGUUCAGAUGUGGAGACAAUGAGAGAAAGAAACAAUAUGGCAAUGAAGAACCAAAAAGAAGGUUUGCUGGAGAAAUAGAAAAAGACAAGAAAUAAGAAAAUAAAUAGAAACAGAAGUAGGGAAAAAGGACAAUUUUGAAGAGCUCAACAAGAUAUGAGGCAUUUCUACAAAUAACCUGUAGGGCUAUGUUUUUUGUGUUUGCAGUAGGACCGCUUUGGGCACAGAAGAUCUCAUGUGCAAUAUCAGAUUAUCAAUAGCCAGUCCAGGGAUCUUGCUGAACAUUUGUAUCAGCCAGCAGCAGCGUUUCCAUGAAGGCAGCAGGCAGAGUCCAUCUGGACUUCUAAGUGGGAUCAUUUCAUGUUUAAGGACUAUGAUUUGAAUUCAGGCCAUUUCUGGCUAAUGAAAAAUACAUGGUAGUUCAUGGCAUCAGUAAGAUGAUUUGCCCUGAGUUACUGUGUCAUGCUAUUGACAAUGGGAAAAGACAAAUCUUCUAAUAAAUACCUUCUUUAAAUGCUGUCUUUCUAAUGAAAUAAUCUAUAUGCAGUACUCCAAAAAAUUUUAUUUUAGCACGUUUCUGCUCAGCCAUUAAUGUAAUGCUAAUCACAUUUGUUUGUCUGUCACCAUCUAGACUAUUGCAAAUAAGAAACAAUAAAAGGAAAUGAGACUAUAUAUGAAGGGGAGAGAAAUAAAUUUUGUUAAAGUUCUUCAAGCUAAUAAUAAACACUGUAGCAAAAAACUAAAUGGAAGGAAAAUGGAAGAACAAGAGAGAGUGACAUGAAAAAAUAGAACAAUAUAGAAAGCAGUAAGAGGUGAAAAUGAUACCCUGAAGCAUGAUUAAAUAUAAGACAGGAUGUCAAUAAUUCAUAAAAAGAAAUGGCUACUUAGAAAUGUAAAGCUUACCUCAGCUUGGUUUGGAGAUAUUGUCAGUAUACAGGUGUGAAAGGGGUCUGUGAUCUGCCAGUAAUCAAUCAGUGUUUUAUAUUUAAAAAAAAAAGAACUUGAAUAAUUUAUACUGAAUAUUUCAUUCUGCCUCUAAGAAUUGAACAUAGUACCUGGAAACAGCUGGGCCAAUGAUCUCAUGACUAAUAAGGAAGGUCCAGACCUGAGUGAUGUCAAUCUAAUUCAUAUAGCCAGGAACAUGGAUGGUUGUGACAGUAUUUGAAGAUAAGAAGAUGGAAAUAAACGUCUACCCUGGACUGAGCAAAAUGUGAAGGCUGUCAAAAGAGAUGUUGGCAGUGUGCCCUAUCUGUGUGGGGAUAUAUUACCAGUUAUGGAUCUAGACUCUCUAAACUCUCAAAUUAGGACCAAUAUUUUCAUUUAAACUUUCCCUUCUCAUCAGGUAAGGCAUUAUGUGUUCAGAAAGAAACAAAAUGGAAUAUUGUUUGCAGACAGGUAAUGGUAUAAUCACUUGUCAUUCUCUAAGAGAGCACUGGCAGGCUGGAUGCAGAGUAAAUCACAAAAUGUUACCAACAGUCUAAAAAAGAUAUUCUCAUUUAGCCUGUAUUCUGAAAAUAUUUUGCUACUGAGACAGCUGCUUGUAUGUAUUUGUCCUGGAAAAAAAAAAAAACAAAAAAAAAAAACAAAAACCAAAGAUAACCAAAAAACUUUCAAGGGUUACCAGAGCACAUAAAUCCCAGUCAGAAGAAUGUGAAAAGAGGUAUCCUGAAAAUUACUCGAGUUGCAAGAGGACAUGAAGACAUUAGCACUUCAUGAGGAAGGUCUCAGACUUCAGGAGCCUCCUCGUGUUACAGUUCCAGGAAUGGUUGAGACAUCAGUCAACCAAGAGAAGUGAAACCAAGGAAAGUGAUGCUGUCCCCUCUCCUGGUUUCCCCUGGAACUCUCCCGGGGUGUUUUCUGUACUCAGUGCCAUCACUUUGACCUCACCCUUUACAAUAAAUGCUUUCAUUUUUAUGAUUAUAAAUAUCUCUCACAGCUAAGGUAGCUGUAAAGAAGCAAAGCAUGAACGUUGUCAAUAUAUGUAUUCAGCAUUUGCUGUUGUUCUUCACCUAAUUAAAGAGAGGUUUUAAAAUACUUGAUUUAGCUCAUUAUUUAUGUUGUAGUUUUUGACAAAAAUUAAUUGUUCUGAGGGAGCAACUCAGAGUCCUAGAGAAAGUAUUAUGGUGACACAGUAAGUACAUUUAAUAUUUUAUUGCACAUAUUCCUGAGAAAAUGUUUCUUUCGGAUUUCUCUUUGAUUUCUCUCUGGUUUUGGUGUUAUAUUAACAAUUCCACAAUGUAUCUCUGAGCAGCAGUUUUGUGGGUGUCUUCAUUUUUCUUGUCAAUUCUUCUGCUUAUCACAUGUGAAACAAAUGAAGAGCACCAUGAAAUUUGAUAGCAUGAUAUUUGUGCAGUGCUUAUCUUAGAAUAGUCUUUACUGCUCCUUGUUAUUGCCCCCAUUCUCCAUCAAGCUAAGUAGAAUAUCAAAAAUUUCAAUUUUCCCAAUAUUAAACUAUGUGACAAAAGUCCUCAAAAUGAACCCUUUGAAAAAAAUGCAUUCCACCCGCUUUUAUAACUUUUCUGCUUGAGACUCGUACUGACAGUCUCCUAUCCCUCCAAGCUGCACUCUAAAUUCAUAAGCAGUUAGAUUUUGCUUUCGAUCCCUGAGCAGAUUUCAAGUUAAAUAUUGCUUUCAAACCAUCUAAUCACAACAACCACUUGGUCUGCUUCCUUCCAUGCUGAGGGAGACUUUUCAAUUUUAUUUGGUGUUUAAGUUUAUCAUGGCACAAAUCUCUUCCAUCGGUGCUCAAGAAGUGUAAAUGUUGGCCUGCUAGAUCAUUUUAGCACCUAUUGAGGCAUACUUGUUUUCUGAGAGAUAAAAAAAUAAAUAAAUAAAUAAAACAGGUGAACAGAAUGCUUCAGAUGAUUCAUAAACAUGUGAGCUAUAGUUUCUGGGUUGUUUUUGGUUGGUUGCUUUGCUUGUGGGUUGUUUUCAUGUUCUCAAAAACUGUCUCAAAGUCUUUUCCUGAAAUCAGGUUUGCCAGUCACUUUCAGACGAGUCAUGUUGAUGCACAUGUUAGGGAAAAUUCUUACUGGCAUGUUGAAAGAGACUGCUUUUUUCCCAGCAGGAAAGGUGUUGUGGAAUUAACUCUUUCUAAGUCAAAUAUUUAACCUCCAAACCAUUAGAAAGAAAGGCUUCUUUUACCAAGGUGCAAGACAUAGAUCAUCUACAGACUAUAUUGGCUUUUUUAACAUAUUAUCAGAAAGAAGGAUAUUGUCAGAAAUCUAUUUAAUGGAAAAAUCAUGGAUUUGGUGAUGGUUUGUAUAAAUCACAAUUAAAAUUUAAGGGACUCAAAGUGUUAUUUAUUAAAUUCAUAGCAAAAGGUAUACUGAAUCAGCUGAGAUGAGACAUGAGUAUCCAUGAGUGUUCAACAUUAAUCAUUCUGCUAAUAGAGAAGAAACAAAAUUUGCUUUCAGAAAAUUUAUGACUGACCAGAUAAACUAUGUGUAUAAGAAAAUAUUUAUUAGUGUUAUUUAUCAUCUUUUGAAUUAAUUUCUUGCUUUUCCUGAACUGUAACACCUUCUUGUGAAUAGUAUGUCCUAGAAAUGUAUUUAAAAAAAAACUCCACUUAAUCUCGUUAUAAGAAACCCUGUGGUUUCUCUCAUAUUACUGACCUAAGGUCAAAUGGCAUAACCUGAUACAAUUUCAUUUUCUAUAUGGUCUUAGUUAAAAAAAAUAUAGUUUAUCUUCUAUUCAUAUCCCUGCAAAUGCGUCCUCCUGCAUUUCCUUCUUUCACUUCCUGUCUUGUUCCCCAAAAAUGCAGUUAGAUACUUUGAGCUAACAAAUGAAAUACAUCUAUAAUAGUCUGAAGACUUUACCAUGAAUCAUCAUACACAGCUAUAAUCAAUGUGUAACCAUUACUCUAAGUCCUUUAUAACCAGCUCUCAGAGCUGGACCAGUAGUUGUAACUGAUGGAUUCUUACUUGAUCUUUAGCAUAAAAAUGUCUGUAAUAUCUAUAUCUAUAAAAAAAAAUCUCAAUCUUAUCUAUAAAGGACUUUUAUUUUUUUUCUCCUUUAAAUCUUUGUGAAUUACUUAUUUUCCCAUCUACACCAAUGGAAACCAUUUUUCACAGCUAAACUUUUAAGUGUGUGACGAAUUCUUUUGUGUUUGCACUUAGCCACAUGCAUAAGUCUUCAGCAUAAUGUAAAAUUUUCAGUUCUUCUAAAAGCAGGAAAUAAAUUUUCUUGUUUCUACA